rnacentral:rRNA from 1 species
UACAGAGGUCUCAAGCGUUGUUCGGAUUCAUUGGGCGUAAAGGGUGCGUAGGUGGCGCGCUAAGUCAGGUGUGAAAUUUCGGAGCUUAACUCCGAAACUGCAUUUGAUACUGGCGUGCUUGAGGACUGGAGAGGAGACUGGAAUUCACGGUGUAGCAGUGAAAUGCGUAGAUAUCGUGAGGAAGACCAGUGGCGAAGGCGGGUCUCUGGACAGUUCCUGACACUGAGGCACGGAAGGCCAGGGGAGCAAACGGGG